CCUACGGGAGGCAGCAGUGGGGAAUUUUGGACAAUGGGGGAAACCCUGAUCCAGCCAUUCCGCGUGAGUGAAGAAGGCCUUCGGGUUGUAAAGCUCUUUCGGCAGGAACGAAACGGCGGACUCUAACAUAGUCUGUCAAUGACGGUACCUGAAGAAGAAGCACCGGCUAACUACGUGCCAGCAGCCGCGGUAAUACGUAGGGUGCGAGCGUUAAUCGGAAUUACUGGGCGUAAAGCGUGCGCAGGCGGCUUUGUAAGACGGAUGUGAAAUGCCUGGGGUUAACCUAGGAACUGCGUUCGUGACUGCAAAGCUGGAGUGCGGCAGAGGGGGGUGGAAUUCCUGGUGUAGCAGUGAAAUGCGUAGAUAUCGGGAAGAACACCGGUGGCGAAGGCGGCUCUCUGGACCGUGAUUGACGCU
rnacentral:rRNA from 1 species